AUCCUUAAUUCUAGAUCGCUCACGGAACCUCUUCUGCGGUUGACUUCGGUCCGCUCAACCACAGCUCCCACGCUCCUGCCUGCGUCGAUUCCUCCCGUCCGGCGACCGGCUACUCAAGCGCAGCUUCAUCCCCGACCCCCCCUUCGACCCUCCUACCAUGGCAUCUCAGCCCCCGUCCGAUCUCCCACACCAGAAACGGUGGAGGUAAGGUAACGACCCCCAUCUCACCUUGUACACCCCAGCCCACAGCCGCACGCCCUCCAGCAUCUAUUCACCAGACCUAGAUGCACACACGCGCGGCAGGCCUAGCGAUUGCGGCGACACCGGCGGGAAGCAGUCAAGCUGAGCAGAAGAGCAGCGGCUAGAGGAGCACGCGCUUGCGGCAGCGACCGGCGGACAUGCGUCCAGGCGAGCAGUGGCCAGCGGCGACCUGCUGGCAGGGCAUGCAACGGCAAGAUGGGACAGGCGCGAUGGUGCCCGGCGUUGCGCCGUUGCUGCGAUGGCGGACACCAAGGCCAUGUGCCCUGCUUUCCAUGCCGCCAACAAUGGCGUCAUGUUCGCUGCCAAAGUUGCCUUCCUCAUCCCCGCAGGUUCACCACCUACGCGAUAUUUGGUGUCAUCAGUUGACACGGAGCUGAGGUGCUCUAGGAGGGCACAACUCAUCCCUGGUCUCUACUGGUGCCAAGGUCAUGGGAAACCUCUCCCCUGAGCUUCGAUGUCUCCCGUCCCCUGGCGAGAGAAGUGCCGCCUUAUUAUCCAGAGUAGGUAAAGCUUGCUCCUUCCGUUGUGUGAAUCCUGUCAAGAUCCAGCUGUUCUUAUUCAGAAGCACGCCCUGAGGUGAGUUGAAUUGCUUGUUCUAUUUAAAAUUUGGGAGAUGGAUUUGAGUUCUUAGGUGUUAUAUGGUCCCAAACUAUGAAUCGUUGGAUUAGCUAGAUGUAUUCUUGUUUGUGUAUUAGAAAGUUAAAUUUCUGCAAGUGUGUAUAUAUCCCAAGUCUGGCCUAUUCAACAAGAUGAGUCCUUGGUAUUGUGAAGAAAUUUGGGGUAUUUGGUAAUUUGUACCAUAAAAUUGAUGCUUUAGUUCAGUCAGUGUUGUGAUUCAUUAAUUUUUAUAUACAAAGGAAAAAAUAUAAUUUUUUCCAGGGACUGUUGUUUGCGGGCUGAAAUUGUUGGUAUUGCUGAACAGUUAAAAUGAGAAUAAUACUACUCCCUCUGAUCGAUAUUACUUGAUUCUAAAAUGGAUGUAUCUACAACUAAAAUAUGUCUAGAUGCAUCCAUUUUAGCAUCAAGUAAUAUGGAUCGGAAGGCAGUACUACUAAACCUUUCAGGCAGUUACUUCCAGCGAAAAUGGAGGAUGAUGUGUGCUUCACCACAUCGUAAAUCCUUUACCUCACAUAGAAAUUGCGUAAAUUAGUAGUGCAUUUUUGUUUUUCAUUAUACUAAAUGCAUAGCUGAGCCUUAUCUCAUUUCUUAUGAAAGCUUGAAGAGAAAAUCCAUGGUAAGGAACUUGGAUAAACAGAUUUUUAGGAUUAACCUAACACAAUAAUUGCUUUUAAAAUAUUUAUGUGUAACUCUCGGAUUACAUAUUUUAUUAUACGAAUUAACUCAUUACUUACGAGAGCCAGGAGACAGAAAUUAAACAUAUUAGGAAGAGCAUGAUAUUUAAGGCAUCUUCUGAAAGCUGAGUUGAAAAAUAUACUAAUGUCGGUUUACUUUAUCCUACUGAGGUUUCGAUUUCUUCGAUGUAUAUAGUUUGUAUGAUUCAUGUGUAUGAUUCAUGUCCAUCUAUUUUUUCUAUUAAAAGCAAUAUUCACAUAUGGUUCAGUAAGAAAUGCUCACGUAUAAUGUAAGUUCUGGUGUGUUCUGUGACUUGUGAGUGUUGUCAUCAUAGGACAAAGUAUUAACAGUUUCUUUCAGCCUUGCAUUCCAGGAAUUUUGUCACAAUAAUACAUUUUUUGCAAUUCUAAGGUUAAUAAGGUGAAUACAUGAACGACUGUCAAGAAAUCUUGCAUACCUACCCACUAGCUAUACGUUACAAGGAUGAUACCAUUUUUUUUUUGUUUUUUCUUGAGUUCUCUACUUUAUGGUUCCUGGGAUAUGAGAAAUUGUGUUGAGUUGAAUUGAUUCUUCUAUUUAUAAUUUGGUAGAUGGAUUUGAGUUCUUAGGUGUUAUGUUUGAGAAUCAUUGGAUUACGUAGCUGUAUAUUCAGUUUGUGUAUCAGGAUGUUAAUUUUUUUCAAAUUUUCCUACUCAGCAAGAUGAGUCCUUGCUUGUGAAGGUUGGUGUCGUGCAGACAUAGCUUAUAUUUUUUCAAUUCAUUCCCUAUAACAGUUGUGAUGUUCUGGAUUACUACAUUCUUAUUAAACUUUUUUACUUCACUGGAUUUCAUAUCUAAACUUAUAUCUAUCGUGUCCCAGAUUUGGAAUUAAAUCAUGAAAUUAUCUUUGCAUUGUUUUUUUUUUUGGAAAGUUAAGUGUCCCCUGCUAGGAUAACCAUAUGAGGUGAUGCAUGAUUUUUUAUCUCUUGUAUUUAAUUAUUCUAAUCUACUUAAUGGAGUAGGUUUUCUGGUAGCAUUAUUGGCGUCUUCACGCUUCCUUUUGUGCCAAAUAAUUGUGAGUAGUUGCCUAUGAUAUAAUAUAAGCUUAUAUGUGUGCUUAAAUCUUAUGAAGUAAACUUGCCACUGGUUUGAUGUGUAUCAUGCGAUUUUUACUUGUCAUAUCUAAUUUAUUCACUUUUCAAUUUGUUUAAUUUUACCUCAUUGCUCCUGUUUUAGGCCCUUCGUACUUAACCUGACAAGAGCGGUAAGAAAUUAUCUAGAAAAUGGCUGGUCGGUACUUGGCGGGCAGCAGCAGAAGAGCGUAGAAUGUGAAGGCCAGGAGCAAGUGCUGGCAAGAAAACAUAGUACUUGUGAGUUCUCUUCGGUCUGCUUAUGCAUGUUUUUAAGACUGAUGGCCAGAUCAGUGCAAUUUUAAGGAGAUGAAUGUAGUCCUGCGUUGAUGGUUCCGAUGAGGCCAGUUAGCAAAUCGGAAGGCUGGGAUAAAGCCAUCAGAUAUGAUAGAGGAUGCAUUAUAUCCUGCUUCAAGGUCUGAAAGAAGAGCUGACAAGGAAUCUUGGUGUAAGCAGUCAUCUUUUGGACUAUUUCCUUGUUGUUUCUUCGUAAAUUUCGUGAAAUAUCAUGUCGAGCUUGUAUCAUUAUAGCCGACUACCUAAUUUUGUUUGUUCUAUAUAAUUCCAUGUGACAUUUCGUACUUGCUAAAAGAAAAAAUUGCAAGCCUAAGAUAGGAGAUAGUAAUAAAUUAGAUUUAUUACUUUA